UUAAUUGAAGAGUUUGAUCAUGGCUCAGAUUGAACGCUGGCGGCAGGCUUAACACAUGCAAGUCGAGCGGUAGCACAGGGGAGCUUGCUCCCUGGGUGACGAGCGGCGGACGGGUGAGUAAUGUCUGGGAAACUGCCUGAUGGAGGGGGAUAACUACUGGAAACGGUAGCUAAUACCGCAUAACGUCGCAAGACCAAAGAGGGGGGACCUUCGGGCCUCUUGCCAUCAGAUGUGCCCAGAUGGGAUUAGCUAGUAGGUGGGGUAAUGGCUCACCUAGGCGACGAUCCCUAGCUGGUCUGAGAGGAUGACCAGCCACACUGGAACUGAGACACGGUCCAGACUCCUACGGGAGGCAGCAGUGGGGAAUAUUGCACAAUGGGCGCAAGCCUGAUGCAGCCAUGCCGCGUGUGUGAAGAAGGCCUUCGGGUUGUAAAGCACUUUCAGCGAGGAGGAAGGUGGUGAGCUUAAUACGUUCAUCAAUUGACGUUACUCGCAGAAGAAGCACCGGCUAACUCCGUGCCAGCAGCCGCGGUAAUACGGAGGGUGCAAGCGUUAAUCGGAAUUACUGGGCGUAAAGCGCACGCAGGCGGUUUGUUAAGUCAGAUGUGAAAUCCCCGGGCUCAACCUGGGAACUGCAUUUGAAACUGGCAAGCUAGAGUCUCGUAGAGGGGGGUAGAAUUCCAGGUGUAGCGGUGAAAUGCGUAGAGAUCUGGAGGAAUACCGGUGGCGAAGGCGGCCCCCUGGACGAAGACUGACGCUCAGGUGCGAAAGCGUGGGGAGCAAACAGGAUUAGAUACCCUGGUAGUCCACGCUGUAAACGAUGUCGAUUUGGAGGUUGUGCCCUUGAGGCGUGGCUUCCGGAGCUAACGCGUUAAAUCGACCGCCUGGGGAGUACGGCCGCAAGGUUAAAACUCAAAUGAAUUGACGGGGGCCCGCACAAGCGGUGGAGCAUGUGGUUUAAUUCGAUGCAACGCGAAGAACCUUACCUACUCUUGACAUCCAGAGAACUUUCCAGAGAUGGAUUGGUGCCUUCGGGAACUCUGAGACAGGUGCUGCAUGGCUGUCGUCAGCUCGUGUUGUGAAAUGUUGGGUUAAGUCCCGCAACGAGCGCAACCCUUAUCCUUUGUUGCCAGCGGUUCGGCCGGGAACUCAAAGGAGACUGCCAGUGAUAAACUGGAGGAAGGUGGGGAUGACGUCAAGUCAUCAUGGCCCUUACGAGUAGGGCUACACACGUGCUACAAUGGCAUAUACAAAGAGAAGCGACCUCGCGAGAGCAAGCGGACCUCAUAAAGUAUGUCGUAGUCCGGAUUGGAGUCUGCAACUCGACUCCAUGAAGUCGGAAUCGCUAGUAAUCGUAGAUCAGAAUGCUACGGUGAAUACGUUCCCGGGCCUUGUACACACCGCCCGUCACACCAUGGGAGUGGGUUGCAAAAGAAGUAGGUAGCUUAACCUUCGGGAGGGCGCUUACCACUUUGUGAUUCAUGACUGGGGUGAAGUCGUAACAAGGUAACCGUAGGGGAACCUGCGGUUGGAUCACCUCCUUACCUAAAGA
rnacentral:rRNA from 1 species